AGAACGAACGCUGGCGGCAUGCCUAAUACAUGCAAGUCGAACGAACUCUUCGGAGUUAGUGGCGCACGGGUGCGUAACGCGUGGGAAUCUGCCCCUUGGUUCGGAAUAACAGUUGGAAACGACUGCUAAUACCGGAUGAUGACGAAAGUCCAAAGAUUUAUCGCCAAGGGAUGAGCCCGCGUAGGAUUAGCUAGUUGGUGAGGUAAAGGCUCACCAAGGCAACGAUCCUUAGCUGGUCUGAGAGGAAUGAUCAGCCACACUGGGGCUGAGACACGGCCCAGACUCCUACGGGAGCAGCAGUAGGAAUAUUGGACAAGUGGGCAAAGCCUGAUCCAGCAAUGCCGCGUGAGUGAUGAAGGCCUUAAGGUUGUAAACGCUUACGUUUUACCCGAGAUAGAAUAAUGUACAGUAUACGGAGAAAUUAAGGACCCCGGCUAAACUCCGUGACCAGACCAGCCGUACGU
rnacentral:rRNA from 1 species